AAUCAACGCUGGCGGCGUGCCUAACACAUGCAAGUCGAACGCGAAAGCCCUUUCGGGGGUAAGUAGAGUGGCGUCCGGGUGAGUAACACGUAGGUAAUCUACCUUCGGGUGGGGAAUAACUCGCCGAAAGGCGAGCUAAUACCGCAUAAUGCAGCGGCACCUAAUGGUGAUUAGUUGUUAAAGCGGGGGAUCGUAAGACCUCGCGCCUGAAGAGGAGCCUGCGGCAGAUUAGCUAGNGGUUGAGGUAAUGGCUCACCAAGGCUUCGAUCUGUAGCUGGUCUGAGAGGACGGCCAGCCACACUGGCACUGACACACGGGCCAGACUCCUACGGGAGGCAGCAGUGGGAAUUUUGGGCAAUGGGCGCAAGCCUGACCCAGCAACGCCGCGUGAGGGAGGAAAUCCUUGGGAUGUAAACCUACACAAGCAAGGAAGAGAGCUCAGGACCAAAUAAGUCCUGAG
rnacentral:rRNA from 1 species